rnacentral:lncRNA from 1 species
UAAAAGAAAAGGAAAAAAAUAGAACCGAAUCGAAAAACUUAAAAAAAAUCACCUUUGAAACUGUCUUUUUCUUAUUUCUCCAAUGUUUUUUUUUGUUUUUCCUCCGAAAACUUUACAAAGAUUUUUGGUGGCUUUAUAGCCGAUUUACAAGAGUUUUUAGUCUAUUUUUACUUGCUAUUGUUUCCUUUCUGUCAUUGCAGGUAUGGGCGCACGUGGGCAGAGGUGACUGUGGCAGUUGAUGGUGGUUGUUAGCAGAGCAGGUGCUAGGGCGGCGGCUAGGGUUAUGGAGGCUAGGUUUUUGUUUUGUUUUUUUUUUCUGAUUUGGUUUAGGGUGUUUUGGGCUAGGGUUAGGUUAUUGGGCUUGUGGGUAUUGGGUUAGUGUUAGGUUUUGGGUCUGCUGGAAAUUGGUUGGGUAUUGGGUUCUUUUGGUUUUGUUAUUGUUUUAUUUGUUGGGCCCAGGCAAAAUUUGGGUCUUACAAAUGUAAUAAAAAACAUAAAAAAAACUUAAGAAUGAAAAUAUAAAAUAGAAAAUACCUUACCAAAAUAAAACCUAUAAAUUUUUUUUCCUUUUUUACCGAAAUAAUACCUUACAAAAAUAAAAAAAAUUAAAAUCCGAAAUAAAUAAAAAAACAACAAAAAAAAUUAACAUUUAUAAAAAAAACCACUAAAUUAAAAAAUACCUUUUAUGAUUUUUUUAAACAUUAAACCCUUAUAACCCCUAAAUACAACCCCUUAUUUUUUUUUCAAACUCUAAACACAACCCCAAAUUAAAUCCCUUUUUCCUUCUCCUUCUCCUCUCUU